rnacentral:misc_RNA from 1 species
CAACCCUCAAGCCCCCCCGGGGGCUCGGUGUUGGGGACCGGCCCCGCGUCAGCGGGUCGCCGCCCCCGAAAUGCAGUGGCGACAACGCCGCAGCCUCCUCUGCGUAGUAGCACUUGAAACCUCGCACCGGAGCGCGGCGCUGCCAGCCGUAAAACCCCAACUUCUGAAA